rnacentral:lncRNA from 1 species
UGAAAACACGGUAACUUUAUAUGUGCGUUUAUGUGUAUGUACCCAUGCCUAUCGGUAUAUUUCGUUAAUGACCGAGGCGAAAAUUCCUAAUGCAGCAUCACUUCGGACCCAUCUUGCAGGCAAUCAGGAGCUUUGGGGGUCUACUAACUUGGGCGGUACCCAGAUCAGCAUAUAGACUUUUAUGACAGUCUCCGAAGAUUGGUAUUGCUAGCAAAUACCUCGAACCACUGGGGGUUCGCCCCAGUGGCCACCCUUCCAACUUGGAAGGGGGAGGUGAGGGGUUCAAAUCCCCACCUUUUCAGGGGGGGAUGGGGGGUAGGGACGCGUAAGUUUCGAGAGUGGGUUGCGACUCCCACACCCUGCAAGAGGUAGGGCACAAGUCUGCGAGUGAGUGUAGAGUAGGCAUAGAAUAGGACUGACCAAAAAAAAAAAAAAAAAGCAAAUACCUCGUCAUCUCGUAAUAGAAAUAAGACAUGUAUAUACAUCU